rnacentral:rRNA from 1 species
UACGUAGGGUCCGAGCGUUGUCCGGAAAUACUGGGCGUAAAGAGCUCGUAGGUGGUUUGUCGCGUUGUUCGUGAAAACUCACAGCUUAACUGUGGGCGUGCGGGCGAUACGGGCAGACUUGAGUACUGCAGGGGAGACUGGAAUUCCUGGUGUAGCGGUGGAAUGCGCAGAUAUCAGGAGGAACACCGGUGGCGAAGGCGGGUCUCUGGGCAGUAACUGACGCUGAGGAGCGAAAGCGUGGGGAGCGAACAGG